CUGAAAGGAAACUUGAGAUGUGAUUGCUCCUGGCUGUGGCCUGCCUGGGUAGUUCUGGAAGAUCUUAAGAAACACAGACUCCAUCGUGUCCCCAGGUCAUCUGCUUUAGUGCCUCACUCUCUGUGUGCUUAGAAAAGCUUUCCUAGUGCCUAAAUGGAAUUUUUUCUGCCUCAGUUUUAGUCCUUUCCUUCCUGUCCUAUCCACUGUGGACAUGGAGAACAGGUUGCUUUUUCUUCCUUCAGCAACCUUUGACACACUUGCAGAAGUCCUGUCCUCUUUUCUCUCCUUCUUUGGCCAAUUUAGUUAAUUGGAGCUGCAGAAUUUAAAGGGUAUUAGAUGAUGAACCCACCUUAAAUAUAUUUAAAGACUGGAAAUGGAUUUUGAAGUAAGAACUCUGGAAUUUGUUGGUUGUGAUUAGUAUUUAUCUUUCAAAUGUUAAAUAACUCAGAAAUACAUUGGAGUGCCUCCCCUUUCAGGCCUCCUUUGUUUGCCUACAGCAAACAAUUUUCUUGAUGAAAAAAUGUAGAAUAUAAAUAAGCUGUGAUAUGUUUUUUGGUUUUUUUCAGGCUAUGGCUUGGUACACUCCUCUCUACUGGAACAGAAGACAAGGAUGGGGGUGAAAGAGGAAAGUGAAACAUUUGAGAAUAUUGUCAUAAAACUUUCUCAAGGACUGAGCAAAAAGAAGGAUGGGAAAAUGAACAGGAAUUUACAAGAACUGAUUCAGAGUGAAAAAGAAACAAGAAAAAAAGACAAAGCUUCAUUAAAAGGAGGAAAAAAUAGACUUUUACAUCCCUUUUCCCUAAUCAAAGUGCCUGGUGCCAAAGUUAAGUGUCUCCCACUGAACCCUCACUUUUCCCAUUGAUGGGAAUGAUGGCAGCAGUUUUUCAAGUCAUCAAGGCCUGACCCUGUGCCAGAGCUGGGUCCCCCAUACCUGUUCUGAUAGUUUCCUGGACAGGGAAAAGCUGGGGACAGAGAGGAAUUGGCACCUGGGAGUGCUGGUUGCGACGUGGCAGAGAGAG